rnacentral:rRNA from 1 species
GACGAACGCUGGCGGCGCGCCUAACACAUGCAAGUCGAACGAGCGAGCGAGAGCUUGCUUUCUCAAGCGAGUGGCGAACGGGUGAGUAACGCGUGAGGAACCUGCCUCAAAGAGGGGGACAACAGUUGGAAACGACUGCUAAUACCGCAUAAGCCCACAGGUCGGCAUCGACCAGAGGGAAAAGGAGCAAUCCGCUUUGAGAUGGCCUCGCGUCCGAUUAGCUAGUUGGUGAGGUAACGGCCCACCAAGGCAACGAUCGGUAGCCGGACUGAGAGGUUGAACGGCCACAUUGGGACUGAGACACGGCCCAGACUCCUACGGGAGGCAGCAGUGGGGAAUAUUGCACAGUGGGGGAAACCCUGAUGCAGCGACGCCGCGUGGAGGAAGAAGGUCUUCGGAUUGUAAACUCCUGUUGUUGAGGAAGAUAAUGACGGUACUCAACAAGGAAGUGACGGCUAACUACGUG